rnacentral:tRNA from 1 species
CGCAGGCGCGGGUAGGCUGGCUCAUGUCGGUCUGCUCUCAUCAGGUCGGCCACGCCCCGGGAGCGUUCGCAGCGCUCGCCGGGGUCC